UGGCAUAUUAAGCUGCCCAGUCUCGCUGCCGGUGCGGUUCUGCUGUGCCAUGGCUGCAGACAGUGACUCUGGUUGUGUAUGUGGCCAGCUGGGAGGUGCUGGCUGCUUUUUAAGGGACCCGCUGAGACGACA
rnacentral:snoRNA from 1 species